AGCAGCCGCGGUAAUUCCAGCUCCAAUAGCGUAUAUUAAAGUUGUUGCAGUUAAAAAGCUCGUAGUUGAAUUUCGGGAUCAAUACGUCGGUCGUGCUUUCGGGUACGUACUGGCGUCAUUGGUUUCUCCUUUCUGACGAACCAUGAUGUCAUUAAUUUGGUGUUAUGGGGAGUUAGGACUGUUACUUUGAAAAAUUGAGUGUUUAAAGCAGGCAUUAGCUUGAAUACAUUAGCAUGGAAUAAUGAAAUAGGACGUUCGAUCCUAUUUUGUUGGUUUCUAGGAUCAACGUAAUGAUUAAUAGGGAUAGUUGGGGGCAUUAGUAUUCAAUUGUCAGAGGUGAAAUUCUUGGAUUUAUUGAAGACUAACUACUGCG
rnacentral:rRNA from 1 species